GAACGCGAAGAACCUUACCUGGUCUUGACAUGUACGGAAUCCUCCAGAGACGGAGGAGUGCCUUCGGGAGCCGUAACACAGGUGCUGCAUGGCUGUCGUCAGCUCGUGUCGUGAGAUGUUGGGUUAAGUCCCGCAACGAGCGCAACCCUUGUCAUUAGUUGCCAUCAUUUAGUUGGGCACUCUAAUGAGACUGCCGGUGACAAGCCGGAGGAAGGUGGGGAUGACGUCAAGUCCUCAUGGCCCUUAUGACCAGGGCUUCACACGUCAUACAAUGGUCGGUACAGAGGGUAGCCAAGCCGCGAGGUGGAGCCAAUCUCAUAAAACCGAUCGUAGUCCGGAUUGCACUCUGCAACUCGAGUGCAUGAAGUCGGAAUCGCUAGUAAUCGCAGGUCAGCAUACUGCGGUGAAUACGUUCCCGGGUCUUGUACACACC
rnacentral:rRNA from 1 species